rnacentral:rRNA from 1 species
GCAUGCUUGAGGUUCUAACUCUGGUCCGUAAUCCGGAUCGAGGACAGUGUAUGGUGGGCAGUUUGACUGGGGCGGUCUCCUCCUAAAGAGUAACGGAGGAGUACGAAGGUGCGCUCAGACCGGUCGGAAAUCGGUCGCAGAGUAUAAAGGCAAAAGCGCGCUUGACUGCGAGACAGACACGUCGAGCAGGUACGAAAGUAGGUCUUAGUGAUCCGGUGGUUCUGUAUGGAAGGGCCAUCGCUCAACGGAUAAAAGGUACUCCGGGGAUAACAGGCUGAUACCGCCCAAGAGUUCAUAUCGACGGCGGUGUUUGGCACCUCGAUGUCGGCUCAUCACAUCCUGGGGCUGAAGCCGGUCCCAAGGGUAUGGCUGUUCGCCAUUUAAAGUGGUACGCGAGCUGGGUUUAGAACGUCGUGAGACAGUUCGGUCCCUAUCUGCCGUGGACGUUUGAGAUUUGAGAGGGGCUGCUCCUAGUACGAGAGGACCGGAGUGGACGAACCUCUGGUGUUCCGGUUGUCACGCCAGUGGCAUUGCCGGGUAGCUAUGUUCGGAAAAGAUAACCGCUGAAAGCAUCUAAGCGGGAAACUUGCCUCAAGAUGAGAUCUCACUGGGAACUUGAUUCCCCUGAAGGGCCGUCGAAGACUACGACGUUGAUAGGCUGGGUGUGUAAGCGUUGUGAGGCGUUGAGCUAACCAGUACUAAUUGCCCGUGAGGCUUGACCA